CAGCACCGUGGUUUCCUUGGCUGCCGUGUCUCAAUGGGACGGGGCCUCCGUUGAGAUUAGACGGAGCCGUUUUCCUCAACUCUGGCUGGCAUUGAUCCCUUUGGCGAGGGCGAAGGACCCUCCACUUUCCUGGUGCUCCACAAUUACUCUCCCACAACGCUGGAUGUGUCACUGGCAGAGAGAGAAGGGCUGUCCAAAUGAAGAUGGAGGACAAGGAGGAAGAGGAGAAUGAGGAGGAGGAAGAGGAGGAGACUGCAGAGGUCGAUGGAAUGAGGAUACAUGCAGCACUCAUCUGUGAUGGAGGACUCGAGGCGACCGGGCCAUUAGCCAGCCGGAGAAUGCUCUGCAAAGC
ensembl:lncRNA